rnacentral:rRNA from 1 species
GAUGAACGCUGGCGGCGUGCCUAAUACAUGCAAGUCGAGCGAACAGACGAGGAGCUUGCUCCUCUGACGUUAGCGGCGGACGGGUGAGUAACACGUGGAUAACCUCCCUAUAAGACUGGGAUAACUUCGGGAAACCGGAGCUAAUACCGGAUAAUAUAUUGAACCGCAUGGUUCAAUAGUGAAAGACGGUUUUGCUGUCCCUUAUCGAUGGAUCCGCGCCGCAUUAGCUAGUUGGUAAGGUAACGGCUUACCAAGGCAACGAUGCGUAGCCGACCUGAGAGGGUGAUCGGCCACACUGGAACUGAGACACGGUCCAGACUCCUACGGGAGGCAGCAGUAGGGAAUCUUCCGCAAAGGGCGAAAGCCUGACGGAGCAACGCCGCGUGAGUGAUGAAGGUCUUCGGAUCGUAAAACUCUGUUAUUAGGGAAGAACAAAUGUGUAAGUAACUAUGCACGUCUUGACGGUACCUAAUCAGAAAGCCACGGCUAACUACGUG